ensembl:lncRNA
CAACGUUCUCUGAAGAUCAGACAAGGCAUUCGGCCGCUUCUAUCUGGGAUCAACCAACACCGCCUGAAAAGGGAUAAAAUAAUAAAUCCAUAUUUGGAACGUUUUUGACUGACGGCGACGCGCAACACAGACCAAGAGACUGUGCACGAACGACCGUAGAGAGGACGGCUCGAACACCCGCUGCUUCCAGUUGUACCUACGCCCCAAACCGAACGUUUCGUGCGAAGGAAGAGACUCCAGAACAGGCCGAUUACGAAGAUAGCAAGGCGAGGGAAGUAGGCUACGGCAAACCUCCAUCUCGCCCAGAUACCUCCAUUACGUCCACCUACCACAGCCCCCUUCAGCCAUGGACCCCCCGAGGACUCGG